ensembl:lncRNA
AUCUUCUGGUGCAUGUUUUCUCCAAAGAACCUACCCUCUCUUUACGAUCCCCCUGGCAAUCAGAUGUGCUGGGAAGAAGCUGUUUACAGGCAGAGGAGAUGUCAUGCAGCACGAUGAAGACGCUGGCUGGUGCAUACUCCUCCAGCAGCCCAGGAAUAACAGCUGUCACAGAUUGCUGUGGUCAAAGCGUUAGCCCAAUGGACAUGAGGAAAAGCAAAGAAGGAACGCCAACUAACAACACAUUUUCCAGAAGAGACGACACAUGCUUCUUUUGUGGCUCACAACAUAUUCUACAUACGACUUCACAGUGAAGCAGAUGACGAAUGAAAGAUUGAUGCAACUAAGUAUUAAGAGGCUCAGACACAAGAAGAAAAUCUGCGGGGAAACUUCUUUGCUCACACUUCUGACAUUAAGCCAGGAGAACCUUCUCGUGCCCUGGCAAAGCCUGCACCAGUGGAAAAGUUUAGGAAAAUGAGAGACCCAGUUAACCAGUUGCUGGGAAACAAAAUGACAAAUAGUACUAUUUGUCAAAGAUCCUCAUUUCUGCAGCUGGCCCUUUGUUAAAGAACUAUAGUGGUUACUGGAGCAGAGAAUGAAGCAAUUGCUGGCCCUUCAGCAGCUGAGCAUGGGACUGGCAGUUCUGCCCUGCCCUAGGUAUUCCUGUGCCAUCCACUGGAGGAAAACUAGAUGUUAGGGUGGACUCUACUGGCAGCACUAUCAGGUAUAGGAACAGAUCCAGAAGCCUUGCCAAAGGAUGACCCAACUCAACAAAAGCCAGACUUAUCUACCUCUAUCAGCCAAACAAAGAAGAAAGAUAUUCCACUUACAAGGCAGGAAGAAAAGAAACAUGGUAUGCUAGGUACCGGUGUUAGUCCAUUGUGACUACUUCUGUGCACUUCAACAACUAUAUGCCUUUCUCCUCUAGCUGUAAUGUUUGGGUACCCACUGGAUGGAGAAAAAGAAGAAGCUAAGGCACAAAGACAUUGUCUAGAGGAUAUACAGGCACCUUAUAUUUAAUUGUUUAAGUUCAGCAUCAAAUACAGCAAGGAAUAAACAUUCCCUUGCUUUAUAUUCAAUAAUGAACCUUGUUUUCAAGCUUAUACCUGUUACUUCAUUGCCCAGCAAGUAGUACUUCUGUUACACAGCAUCACAGAAAAGUAAAUUUCUAAAGAAAUAUAUAGGAAAAGGAUAAAUACUUGGAACUAUGAUUGAUAUACUGUUGAUUUAUAAUAAUACCGGAGUUUUCUCCUACAGGUAAAAGGAAAAAAAAAAUAGGUUUCUUUGGCUAGAGUCACAUUUCUCCUGAUUUAGGUGAGUAAUAAAAUUGUUAUGAAAUGCUUUUGGAAAAAAAGUCAUCACUGCACGUGCUUAAUGCUUGUCCCAAGUUUUUCUUCCUCUCAGACAGUCUGGCUUUUUCCUGUGGAUUUGCCCAUCAGAGCUCUGUGUAUGUUUACAGGGCCACAGCUAAAAACCUGCAUGGAGUGAGUCAGAAAUGAUCAUCUCAUCCAUACCAUGUUCCUGUGCAC